rnacentral:rRNA from 1 species
ACACAUGCAGUCGAGCGGUAACAGAUCCAGCUUGCUGGAUGCUGACGAGCGGCGGACGGGUGAGUAAUGCAUAGGAAUCUGCCCGAUAGUGGGGGAUAACCUGGGGAAACCCAGGCUAAUACCGCAUACGUCCUACGGGAGAAAGGGGGCUUCGGCUCCCGCUAUCGGAUGAGCCUAUGUCGGAUUAGCUAGUUGGUGAGGUAAAGGCUCACCAAGGCAACGAUCCGUAGCUGGUCUGAGAGGAUGAUCAGCCACAUCGGGACUGAGACACGGCCCGAACUCCUACGGGAGGCAGCAGUGGGGAAUAUUGGACAAUGGGGGCAACCCUGAUCCAGCCAUGCCGCGUGUGUGAAGAAGGCCCUCGGGUUGUAAAGCACUUUCAGCGAGGAAGAACGCCUAGUGGUUAAUACCCGCUAGGAAAGACAUCACUCGCAGAAGAAGCACCGGCUAACUCCGUGCCAGCAGCCGCGGUAAUACGGAGGGUGCAAGCGUUAAUCGGAAUUACUGGGCGUAAAGCGCGCGUAGUGGCUUGAUAAGCCGGUUGUGAAAGCCCCGGGCUCAACCUGGGAACGGCAUCCGGGA